rnacentral:ncRNA from 1 species
GUAAAGUUUUAUCCUAGCUUGUUCUUUCAUUUUUAGGUUAAUGGUACAUGUAAAUCUUAAUGUUACAAUAGGUUUUAUUAAAACUAAAGGUUAAUAAAUUGUUUGAAUGUAGAGGUUUCUUUAAGAAAUAAAUUCUCAGUACCUAAUGCUAAUCAAUAAAUGAACGUUAGAAUUGGUAAUCCUAAUUAUAUACCUGGUUAAAAUUUGUGCCAGCAGCCGCGGUUAGACUGAGAGGUAAAAUGAAAGAAAUUUGGUUAAAAACAGUUAUAUUUAUUAAUUUUUUUUUCUUUUAAAGGCCUAUAUUAAUAAAGGGUGAAAUCAGUUUUUUGAUAAAUAGUAAAAUAAAAGUUUUAAUCUUAAUUGAAGCUGUUAAGAUAAAGGGAUGAACCAGGAUUAGAUACCCUGUUACACUUUAUUUAAAUUAUAAUUACCUGGGUACUAAACAGUUAUUAUCUUGAAACUCAAAGGAUUUGGCGGUAAUUUAGUCUAUUUAGAGGAACCUGUCCUAUAAUCGAUAAACCACGAAAUAUCUUACUUUAUUUUGUAAUUAUUACAGUUUGUAUACCGUCAUUAUUAGGUAACUUUAAUAAGAUGUAGAGUUAUUGAAAUAGUUUAGCUAGUAUAUUAGAUCAAGGUGCAGCUUAUGAUAAAGGAAGAGAUGGGUUACAAUAUAUUAAAAUAUACGAAAUAAUAAAGGAAUCUUUAUUAUUGAAGGUGGAUUUAAAAGUAAAAAGAUUUUAAUAAGAUCUUUUGAUUUUAGCUCUAGGUUAUGUACACAUCGCCCGUCGCUCUCGUCAAUUUAAGCGAGAUAAGUCGUAACAUAGUAGGUGUACUGGAAAGUGUACCUAGAAAUUC